rnacentral:tRNA from 1 species
GGUAGGGUGGCUGAGGGAAAAAGCAGGGGGCUGUAGACCCCCCAACGGAGGUUUAAGUCCUCUUCCUGCCA